rnacentral:lncRNA from 1 species
AUAGAUUUCAAAACACCAGACAAUGAUUUUAUCAUUGGAAGAAAGUAUUGUUUUAAAAAACAAAUAAGGUAGUUAAAGUUGUUUAGACAUUUUCAAAAAGAAUCGUUACAAUACUUUAAACAUUUUUUCUUUCAUCUUCAGCUCCUGUAAGGAAUCGAAUAGGACGUCGAAAAGGACGAAACAGAAAGCUGAGAAUUUGCAAGAACUAUAGAUAGGAUGGCUGAAAAAGUCAACUAUUACUUGAUUACACACAAGGGCAUUUCCUUAUCAACCAUAUACUGACACUUCCCAUCGCGUGAACCCAUACCAGACUACACUUGUUUAAAGGAAGAAAUGAGCAAAGGAUCCACCAUGGAUCGGCAUGAAUGGAUGUUCCCUUUCUCAGUGGUCUAAGGAAACAAGACUGAAAGCAGGCUUGCAGAAAUAACAGCAGAUCAAAAUCUGGUGUGGCAGGAUGACAAGUAAAGGUAAAAGCAAAGAAGUCAAGCACCGUCAUAAUCCGUCAAGUGCAGCACAACAAUGAAAAAUGCAGACUGUGUUCUUUAAAGCAAAAACACUUGAUUUAUUUCUCGUCCAAUCUUCAGCGAAUUUGGUAUAGAUAUGUGUUCAACAAACCCUGUUGGCUUAAUAAGUGAAGAAGUUAUGUGUUUUGUGACAAUAACAGUUUAGUCAAUAAGCGAAGCGAACAUUUGCAGCGCUGUUCUACAACAGUACAAAAAGACCAUGUCAGGACGUGUUACUGCCUGUAUCAGCACAAGAAGUGACAUAAACAUUAUUGCUUCACUAUUAAUUUUGUUAAGUUUAUAACACACCUGAGCACAAAGUGCUCCGUGAAGGCUAUUGUGGUUUCGCUGUGUCCGUCAGCAAACAAUUGAAACGUUAAUACUAUAGUAAUCACAAUGUUAAUUUAAUUGUUCAUUAUGUUACCCUUAAGGUAGUUCUGCACAUUUGAAAAAACGGAAGUGGUGAUGUAAUGUCAUUUAUCCGGAAAACGUAGAAUAAAGCCUUGAUUCGGCGUACGGAAACGAAAAUCAUUUCAUAAACCAAUAGC